rnacentral:rRNA from 1 species
GACGAACGCUGGCGGCGUGCUUAACACAUGCAAGUCGAACGGGAAGGCCCUGCUUUUGUGGGGUGCUCGAGUGGCGAACGGGUACGUAUCACGUGUGUAACCUGCCCUUGACUUUGGGAUAACUUAAGGAAACUGGGGCCAAUAUCGGAUAGGAGCUCCUGCUGCAUGGUGGGGGGGGGAAAGUUUCGGCGGUUGGGGCUGUACUCGCGGCUUAUCCGUUUGUUGGUGGGGUAGGGGAUUACCAAGGCUUUGACGAGAAGCCGGCCUGGGAAGGGGACCGGCUCCAGUGGGACUCAGAUAGCGGCCGGACUCCUACGGGAGGCAGCGGUGGGGGAUAGUGCACGAAGGGCGGAAUCAGGAUGCAGCAACGCCGGGUGCGGGAUGACGGCCGUCGGGUUGUAAACCGCUUUCGCCUGUGACGAAGAGUGAGUGACGGUAAUGGGUAAAGAAGCACCGGCUAACUACGUG